rnacentral:rRNA from 1 species
GACGAACGCUGGCGGCGUGCUUAACACAUGCAAGUCGAACGAAGUGGCGAACGGGUGAGUAACGCGUAAUCAACCUGCCCUUCAGAGGGGGACAACAGUUGGAAACGACUGCUAAUACCGCAUACUGAAGGAGGGGAUUGCGUCUGAUUAGCUGGUUGGAGGGGGAACGGCCCACGAAGGCGAUGAUCAGUAGCCGGGCUGGGAGGAUGAACCGCCCCAUUGGGACUUGGACAAGGCCCCGACUCCUAAGGGAGGCAGCCAUUGGGAAUCUUUCGCAAUUGACGAAAGUCUGACGGAGCAACGCCGCGUGAUGGAUGACGGCCUUCGGGUUGUAAAGCUCUGUUAAUCGGGACGCGGUACCGGAAUAGAAAGCCACGGCUAACUACGUGCCAGCAGCCGCGGUAAUAC